ACAGUGAUGGGAGUGUGACCGUCACUAUAGUUUGGGAUCUCCCCGAGGAGCCGGACAUCCCUGUGCAUCAUUACAAGGUCUUUUGGAGCUGGAUGGUCAGCAGUAAGUCUCUUGUCCCAACAAAGAAGAAGCGGAGAAAGACUACGGAUGGGUUUCAAAAUUCUGUGAUCCUGGAGAAACUCCAGCCAGACUGUGACUAUGUUGUGGAAUUGCAAGCCAUAACGUACUGGGGACAGACACGGCUGAAGAGUGCAAAGGUGUCCCUUCACUUCACAUCGACACAUGCAACCAACAACAACAGAACUACAGGAAACAGUGGAAGCAGAAAUGACCAACAUGGAGUUGGGGAAUGAGAGUCACAUCAUCCCUCAUGAAGUCCUGAAGAGUGAGCGAUCUGCAGGCCCACAAGGAAUGGACAUCAUUCCACACAAACGCAGCAGCGUGGAUGAGUGUAGAGAGUUAGAGAAGCGCAUUGCAUGGGCAGAGAACUCAGCGUGAGGAAAGAAUGAAGGUGGAUGGGCCACUGGUCUCUCCCCUGGAGGUCUCAUUGAGUUGCAAGGAUUUAACCACCAUCUGUGUGCUAAUGACUCCCUGCCCUCCCACCCUGACCACUCUUUGAACUCCAGAGUCCUGCAUUCAGCCACCCACUUAGCACCUCCCCUUGGAUGGCUUGCAGAUAUUUCAAAUAAAACGUUCAAACACAA
rnacentral:lncRNA from 10 species